rnacentral:rRNA from 1 species
AGCGAACGCUGGCGGCGUACCUAACACAUGCAAGUCGAGCGGGGGUCCGGGGGCAACUCCGGGCCCUAGCGGCGAACGGGUGAGUAACACGUGGGUAACCUGCCCUCGAGACCGGGAUACCCUCUCGAAAGGGAGGCUAAUACCGGAUACGCUCCCCGGGUCGCGAGACCGGGGGAGGAAAGGUGGCGCAAGCUGCCACUCUUGGAGGGGCCCGCGGCCUAUCAGCUCGUUGGUGAGGUAACGGCUCACCAAGGCGACGACGGGUAGCUGGUCUGAG